rnacentral:lncRNA from 1 species
GUGUGGAGUCUGUAAAGUGUGGAGUGGAGUCUGUAAAGUGUGGAGUGGAGUCUGUAAAGUGUGGAGUCUGUAAAGUGCGGAGUCUGUAAAGUGUGGAGUCUGUAAAGUGUGAGUCUGUAAAGUGUGGAGUCUGUAAAGGGAGUCUGUAAGUGUGAGUCUGUAAAGUGUGGAGUCUGUAAAGUGCGGAGUCUGUAAAGUGGGAGUCUGUAAAGUGUGAGUCUGUAAAGUGGAGUCUGUAAAGUGUGAGUCUGUAAAGUGCGGAGUCUGUAAAGUGUGAGUCUGUAAAGUGUGAGUCUGUAAAGUGCGGAGUCUGUAAAGUGUGAGUCUGUAAAGUGCGGAGUCUGUAAAGUGUGAGU